UUCACUGUAGACAUGGAAAUAAGGAGGCUCAAAGAAGGAGAGGGAUUUGCCAGUGGUCACACAGAAAAUUGGUGAUGACAAAAGACUAUAGCCAAGUCUUAUGACUCCUGGUAUGGUGUUCUUUUCCAUACUUGUGCCUCCACUAUCUUACUCACUCCUUGUACAUGCUUAUGUAGCAGUCUGGCUCCUGGACUAUGCUGUGAAGUACUUGAGAGUAGGGUUCACAUCUCAUACCUGUGCUGCUGCUAGCAACAUAUAGCAACUGAGCACUUCAAAAAUUGCUUCAAAUCAAGUUGUAUAACACCAAGGGUCCUUCAAAACACACAGCCUUCCUGCCCACAGCACAAAGCCCGGCUCUCUCUGGCCUCUGCAGUUUGGCUCAACAACGGGGAGACUGUGCCCUGCUUGAGAUCCAGGCACCACUCCUAUUACAGGUAUAGUAUCCAUUUGCCUUCUCUUCUUGGCUUUCCAGGCUGGGACAGUGUCCAUGGCAGCCAAGGGUGGCUUGGACCCCUGCCCAUCCCAUUCUCCUUGGGUCCUUCUCAAGGAUCCAGGGUCAAGUGUCAGGGAGAGAAAGGUUACCACUGGCCUUCUAUCUUGGAGCUUCUAAUGGUGGGGAAAAGGGGGGUGAUAAUUCCUACCCAAGCAGACUAUCUAGAAGGCAGCCAUGGGGAAGUGGAAUGUUCCAUGACUUAGUAACAGGUUUUGCAAUUUACUUACUGUCUAACUUUAGGCAAGUUCUUUCUCUACUCCAAUACUCAGAUUUUUGGUCUCCUCUGCAAAAGAGAGGAAGGGAAGUUUUAGAUGGAUACACUUUACAGAGGUUUUUAUUUCUUAUAUCUCAUAUUUUGAUCAUUUUCAGCCCUCUGCUGAGAAAGGAGAUGAGAGUGAUUCUGAGUAAAUAUCUCUGGGUGGGCCUGUUCAAACCAAGGAGGAGAGGUGGUGGUCAUCCAUAUAGCACUCUGAGUGGCAUCAAAGAUGAAAACCUCUUUCUUCCAUAGCCCCAUCUUAGACUCCUAGAAUUUCAGAAUUGGAAGAGCCCCCACACUGGAGGCAGACUGGCUUUUUUCAAGAAUGGUUCUGAGGAUUCCUUCUUUACUCCUACUCCCCUUUCAGGUACUUGGCACUAGCUGGGAGUUCAGUGAUCCCAAGAUGCCUACUUAUACAUUCUUCUACAGGCCUAUAACCUCCAAUUUCUCUAUUAAAAUCAACCUAUCUUUUGCCUCAGUAAUAGUGAUUUUGUGAAACUCUCCAAUAGAUGACUUUGCAUUUCAACUGGGGACAAAGUCUUGACCCAAUGAUGAUGUUUUAGGUAAUAUGACAAGCCAAGAGGAGAGAUCUCCAAGUCCCUCAGUAUCACCUGAUAUAGGUAUCCAUAUCCACUUCUAUGGAUGUGGUCAGUCUCUUAACUGAACCUGCUUUUCUUAUAUAUACUCUAUUAGAGAGGCAUGAACUAGAGCAGCAAUAUUGGGAAAUAAAUCCAGUCAAGUUUCUGCUCAGCCACUGGCUGUCUCCAUCAAUACUGAGGUGACAUGUUCUGUAAGUCCUUUCAACUUCCACAGUACUAAGAAGGAAUCCUUAGCCCAUUAUUCCUCUCUGCAAGGCUUUCUGGGGUAAGUGAAGUUAGCAAGGGCUUUCAGAAGGCUAUGGGUACCUUCAGCUUAUCCAGGUCUUUUCACUGGAGAUGGUAGCCAAUGGAGAUGAUGGUAGAAGAAAGUUAUCAGUCUAGUUCUCUCUCCUCUGUCACCUCCAGCAAAAAAGUCUGAAGAAUCAACUCUCUUGGCAGGCCUCCACCCACAGCUCCAAGGGCUUAGCCAUGGUACCCAUGAGCCUCUAUGUGGGAGGCCCUGGAUAGCUCACCAAACUCUUUACCAACAGCCCUGCCAGAUAGGUCUUCUUGUCCUUAUAAUAGAGAAGAUAACUGAGACCCAAAGAAAGACUUGCUGAACAUCAUGAUUAGCUAUUUGGUGGCCAAGAUGGCAUUAUAACCCAUGUUUUGUUUGAUUUUUUCCACUAUAACCAUAUCUGGUGACCAUGACUGCUUUGGCUGAAAGAGCCACACUUCUGGGAGGCUACAUUGGAUAGUCAUAGAGGUAAGUAGAGGGAGGAUGGUGUAAAAAAUAUUUUAGAAUCUUAGCUUUUAAGUCACCCCCAGAUCUUAUACUAGAGGAGCACAUCAACCACUCAUCAACAUACAUAUAACUGAAAAAGGUGAGAGAAAAACCCACUCUAAGAAUUUUCUUGUUGAAAGACAGGGCUGAGUCCCUCUGCCUUGAAUUGACUGGGACAAGGUCUUCUGGGGCAGUUAUUGUGGGCAGUUUUCUAUUCCCAAUAACCUUGUGAUAUUUGCCACUUUUUACACCAGUAUUUAAUGUAGGCCAGUUACUUUCUCACAAGUUAGCUGUCUCAUAUGGGAAGAAAUGGAAUUUGACCUGGACAACCUGGAAUUUUUAGAAACAAGAUCUAUGUAUUGCCAAGAAAAUUCUCCCAGAAGUUUCAGGUCUGACCCUGCUCCUGGCAAUUUCCUUAUUGCCCAGAUGGCUGUGGGUUCAAGGAUAUCAAUGCUGUACUGCCAAGUCCACCACCUGUCUUUUUCUCUCCUGGUUGAUGUAUCUCCCUUUUCCCACAGGAAUAUACAGAGUUGGGAAGUAGAAGGACUGGUCAGGAAAGCUAGAAGGCACAGUGGGGUGGUAUAGGGCCCAGUCUUGAAUUGUGAACAACUAAUUCCCUGACCUUUAGCAAGUCUCUUCCACAAUAUUAACUGACCUGUAACUUGACUUUUCUCACCUAUAACAUGAGUGUUUGACACUUGAUGAUCUCUAAGGGCGCUUUUAUGGCUGCCCUUCUUGAGUUCUGUGAUUGCUGAUAGGACAAAGAGACUAUGUUAGGCAAGGCUGAAGUCACAAGAAAUUCCUGUCUCAACUGUCCUACCCUUGUUAAAUCAAUUGUUAAUGGCCAUUAGAUAUUCCUUUCCGUAGCAAGAGCCAUGUUUUGUUUUUUUUUUUUUGUUUUUUUUUUGUUUUUUUUUUUUUUUUUGAGAAUUUGUUGUGUAUCAAAUACUGAACUAAGGGCUUUACAUGCAUUAUCUCAUUUCAUUCUCACAAUAACCCUAUGAGGUAUUACUAUAUUAUUCCCAUUUUGUGGAUCUGAACCACUGGAGCCCAGAGAGAUGAAAUGAUUUACCCAUGUUGCCCAGCUAGUUAGUGGCAGAGUCAAGAUUAAAGCCCACGUUUAACUUCAAAGCCUAUGUUCAUAACCACAACACUGUGAGGACACAGCCUGGGAGUGUUGGGAAAGGGGAGCAUGAAAAUUGACUCUAACUUCGUCAUCUUCUAAGCUGAAGGAUGAACAAAUUUUUCUCUCUCUGCUGCACGGAGGAGCUCACUGAAACUUAGGACCCCUGGAAAUGCCAUAGCAACAGGACACAGGCCUGAUGAAUCCCUAGCAAUGAUGCCUUGCCUGCAGUCUCACUUGGGCCUUCGCUACAUACCUUCAGGAUCUCUCUUCUGGCCUUAUGCUUAUUUUGCUCACUUCUUUGUUCUGGAGCUUAGGUGGGUCCUUCUAGCUUCUGCCUGUUUCCUGGAGCUAAAGGUGUGACUUCAUUACUUUUUUCUUUUCCUUUCCCUUCAGGAUCACAUCUUCACAGAGAAGAUCUCACCUCUCUAUUGAAGCCCCUGACUUUGCCUCCUGCAGUGCCACACUCCGUGUAUUUGACAAGAUGAGUUGGACACUCCCUAUAGUAGAGUGUCAGUUUGUCAAAUACCCCAAGUGUGGCACAUGCUUAGCAACUCCAGACAAGAGCAAAUGGGAUACAACAGAAGAUAGCUGGUUGGAUGCAAGAAUUCUCAACAAACACCACCUAAGCUCUCACAAAUUAUUUUCCGUGACCAUCACGAAACUGCGACAUUGUAUAUGAGGGAUCCAGGAGAAAAGUGAGGUAUUUCUGGAAGUUAUAACCCUGGGCUCUGUCUAUCCACAAACAUAGGAGCCCAAGGGAGGCACAUUAGGUUUGAAAAGAAGAAAGGGCCCAAGGAUGGAAUUGUUUCUUGACUUUUUAUUCUCUUCUUCCUUCACAUUACCCUUCCAGAGUCUCCCAGCCAGGAUACUAGAAUUCUCACACAGGUAUCACGGCUUAUGACAUAGUCCCUUGAAUCUGGUCCUAUGCAGCCUUUGUUUCUAAACAUACUUUGACCUUGCCUACCUUUGCCCUUUUGCUCAUGCCUUUUGUCUUUCUGGGAAUACCCUUUCCAUUCCUCACUAUCUAUCCAAUUCUUCCCCGUACUUCUUGGCUCAGCUGAAAUUCAGUCUUUCCAGGGACUUUUGAAAACUAACCUUGCACUCUUUAUUUCUUCAUUUAUAAAGUUCUUCCUGCCUGGGUCUCCAUAUAUGCCCCUUUAGCUCCUACUGCCCAAAGACACCUCUUGUGCAGUUAGUGAACUUUUCCAGGGGAUGUUUCUGUAUUCUGAACUAGACUGUAAGUUUCUAGAAGACAAAAUUAAGUUUCCUUGAUUGUUGUCUCCCCACUCCACCAUUAUUCCAGUCCCUAGUGUAAUACUCUGAAUAUAGAAAAUAUUCAAUAAAUAUUUAUUGAUUGAUUGACUUUC